UACAACAAAGAGUCCCUCCCGACUGUUUACCAAAAACACAGCACUCUGCUAACUCGUAAGAGGAUGUAUAGGGUGUGACGCCUGCCCGGUGCUCGAAGGUUAAUUGAUGGGGUUAGCAUUAGCGAAGCUCUUGAUCGAAGCCCGAGUAAACGGCGGCCGUAACUAUAACGGUCCUAAGGUAGCGAAAUUCCUUGUCGGUUAAAUACCGACCUGCAUGAAUGGCGUAACGAGAUGGGAGCUGUCUCAAAGAGGGAUCCAGUGAAAUUGUAGUGGAGGUGAAAAUUCCUCCUACCCGCGGCAAGACGGAAAGACCCCGUGGACCUUUACUACAGCUUGACACUGCUACUUGGAUAAGAAUGUGCAGGAUAGGUGGGAGGCUUUGAGUAUAUGACGCCAGUUGUAUAUGAGCCAUUGUUGAGAUACCACUCUUUCUUAUUUGGGUAGCUAACCAGCUUGAGUUAUCCUCAAGUGGGACAAUGUCUGGUGGGUAGUUUGACUGGGGCGGUCGCCUCCCAAAUAAUAACGGAGGCUUACAAAGGUUGGCUCAGAACGGUUGGAAAUCGUUCGUAGAGUAUAAAGGUAUAAGCCAGCUUAACUGCAAGACAUACAAGUCAAGCAGAGACGAAAGUCGGUCUUAGUGAUCCGGUGGUUCUGUGUGGAAGGGCCAUCGCUCAAAGGAUAAAAGGUACCCCGGGGAUAACAGGCUGAUCUCCCCCAAGAGCUCACAUCGACGGGGAGGUUUGGCACCUCGAUGUCGGCUCAUCGCAUCCUGGGGCUGGAGCAGGUCCCAAGGGUAUGGCUGUUCGCCAUUUAAAGCGGUACGCGAGCUGGGUUCAGAACGUCGUGAGACAGUUCGGUCCCUAUCUGCCGUGGGCGUAAGAAGAUUGAAGAGAUUUGACCCUAGUACGAGAGGACCGGGUUGAACAAACCACUGGUGUAGCUGUUGUUCUGCCAAGAGCAUCGCAGCGUAGCUAAGUUUGGAAAGGAUAAACGCUGAAAGCAUCUAAGCGUGAAGCCAACUCUAAGAUGAAUCUUCUCUAAGCUCUCUAGAAGACUACUAGUUUGAUAGGCUGGGUGUGUAAUGGAUGAAAGUCCUUUAGCUGACCAGUACUAAUAGAGCGUUUGGCUUAUCUUUAAUAAAGCAU
rnacentral:rRNA from 1 species